AACGGAAAAACCUUUCCUGGGUUAGACCAUGGUGGACAUCCCCCGAGAAGGGGCUUUCCCUUUGGGGAAUGCCGGUUCAGGUGCUGCAUGGCUGUCGUCAGCUCGUGUCGUGAGAUGUUGGGUUAAGUCCCGCAACGAGCGCAACCCCCGCCUUUAGUUGCUACCGGGUUAUGCCGAGCACUCUAAAGGGACCGCCGGCGUUAAGCCGGAGGAAGGUGGGGAUGACGUCAAGUCCUCAUGGCCCUUAUGUCCAGGGCUACACACGUGCUACAAUGGGCGGUACAGAGGGUUGCCAACCCGCGAGGGGGAGCCAAUCCCAGAAAGCCGUCCUCAGUUCAGAUUGGAGUCUGCAACUCGACUCCAUGAAGGUGGAAUCGCUAGUAAUCGCGUAUC
rnacentral:rRNA from 1 species